rnacentral:ncRNA from 1 species
CAAAGGUUUGGUCCUGACCUUACUAUCAGUUUUAACCAAAACUAUACAUGCAAGUAUCCGCACUCCCGUGAGAAUGCCCUAACAGUCUCCUAAUUGGAGACAAGGAGCCGGCAUCAGGCGCCCCCCCCCCGCCCACAACGCCUUGCUUAGCCACACCCCCAAGGGAACUCAGCAGUAACAAACAUUAAGCAAUAAGUGAAAACUUGACUUAAUUAUGGUCACCUCAGGGUCGGUAAAACUCGUGCCAGCCACCGCGGUUAUACGAGAGACCCGAAUUGAUAGUACUCGGCAUAAAGUGUGGUUAAGAGUUUAGACAAUAAAGCCGAAUUUUUUCAAAGCUGUUAUACGCACCCGAAAAUCAGAAGAUCAACAACGAAAGUAGCUUUAAUUAAUCUGAGCCCACGAAAGCCAGGGAACAAACUGGGAUUAGAUACCCCACUAUGCCUGGCCCUAAACAAAAACAGCCCCCUAACCCAGCUGUUCGCCCGGGGACUACGAGCACUAGCUUAAAACCCAAAGGACUUGGCGGUGCUUCAUACCCACCUAGAGGAGCCUGUUCUGUAACCGAUACCCCCCGUUCAACCUCACCCUUUCUUGUUAACAACCGCCUAUAUACCGCCGUCGUCAGCUUACCCUGUAAAGGGCCCAUAGUAAGCAAAACUGGUACAACCCUAAACGUCAGGUCGAGGUGUAGCGAAUGAAAGGGGUAGAAAUGGGCUACAUUCCCUACCCUUAGGGAACAACGAAUGUCUUUAUGAAAAAUUUUCUGAAGGAGGAUUUAGCAGUAAGUAAGAAGUAGAGAGUCUUACUGAAGUCGGCCCCGAAGCGCGCACACACCGCCCGUCACUCUCCCCAAACACUAACACUUCAACCCUAGAUAAAACAAAUCAAAAAAUAAGGGGAGGCAAGUCGUAACAUGGUAAGUGUACCGGAAGGUGCACUUGGAAAAAU